UCAACAAUUAAGUGCUGUGGACUUUAUUCUGCUUCUUUUGAAUUGAAUGUAAUGUUAUACACCAUUGGAAUUUAGGAGCUGUACCAAUAUAUUGUAGCAUACACUGAAUUUAGUCCAGAUAUCUUCCACCUGACCUCCAUGUUUAAAUCUGCAUUUUAUAUCCCUCUGUACAUAUGGUUUCUAAUUAGAUUAAGCUCUAAUAUUGCCGUGUUGCUCUUGUCAAAAUUAGAUUGUUGGUCUAAAAUCAAUUGUGAUAUAUAGGCUGCUUGAUUUCUGCUAUACUUCCCCAUGAAACUAGCAAAUUUAUGACUGAGCCCGUAAGUGUUAAACGUGAUGAGUUGAUAAUAUAGGUAUGCAAUCCUCCUGUUAUUUUCCUCUCUCUAUGAUGUCUAUAAUUCUCACCUUUUGAAUGGAUUCUGUGAUCAGUUUGUAUUUUUAGAUUGAUUUGCCAAACGACUGUGGUCACUCAAUUCAACUUGGAACUAUGAUUUUUUUUUUUUUGGGAGCUUCUGUAUAAUGAAUUUGAUUGUAGUGACACCUUCUAAUUAUGUUUUUCUUUUUGUUGCGAGGAUCAUGUGUGUUCUGUGAGAUGUUGUGAGAAAUUCUGAAACUUUGAUGGGCGAUCUUAGGCCUUGGUUGCCUGAGCCAAACGACGCUGUUUUGGAGGAGAGGCCGACCUCAUCUUCUUCAUCCGUGUUUUCAAUUUCAACAAAUCAGAGGGACAUUUCCGCCGAGUACUGGCGGAGAGCGGAGGAGGCAAUGCAAGGGGUUAUAGCUCAGAUCCAACGUACUCACGUCUCCGAGCGGAGAAGGAAAGCCGCCAUUGAUUACGUUCAGAGGAUCAUUGGAGCUUGUAUUGGUUGUUAGGUGUUCCCGUUUGGAUCAGUACCUCUGAAGACGUAUCUGCCGGAUGGAGUGCUGUUGUUGAAAGGGAAGAUCACAAUAUGGCUGCUGAGUUUAUGGUGAAGAACGUGCAUUUAAUUCGAGCAAAGGUUUGUAGGUUUUACGUACCCUAUAUCAUAUGAGAUAUCAUUGGUUGAACCUUUAUAUUCAUUACCUAGACCCUCUUACAACCAAACACUCAGUUGACAAAACAAGCUACUUCUCUUCUCUUUCCAUUCCGCUCCCACUCUUCUCUUAAACUCAGAAACACUUGAAUCUGCUUACUUCACUUUCAUCUAAGGUCGAAAAUUAGUAGCUACUUUAUGUCUACGCCUUGCUUCUCAUCAUGUUAGGAGAACAAAUGGGGGACUCUGAGAUUUCAAACCACUAACCUCUCUAUUUUGAUCAGUAUCAGAAACUUUCUUUUGGAUCAAGGGCUCAAGUGGACUGAAGAUUGGUCCUUUGGUACUUGUUGGGAGUUGCACAUCAAGGAUUCCAGGUUAAGCUUGUAAAGUGCCUUGUGCAAAAUAUUGUGGUUGAUAUAUCCUUCAAUCAGUUAGGAGGGCUAUGUACGUUAUGCUUUCUUGAGCAGGUGAAAGGAGAGUGAUCCUAAGGGACCACAGUAUGCAAACAACACUUCAAAACUUGAAUCUGAUCUCUCAAGUCAGUGGAGAUCGCUCAUUCACAUGGAGGAUAUCUUCGUAAAUGAAGGCAACCACUUUCUUCCUUUAUCAAGUGUUGAACAAAUCGAAUAUGCUUGACAUGAUUGGCUUCGUAGACCCUGCUCAGACUGGUGUCAUUGGCUGUGGAAAUCCGACUAAACGAGCUUGUUCUUUGUCAGCUUCUUAUUAAAGAGGGAAGACUAGUCAGAUUUUUUGGGUGCCCUAUAACUCAGGGUAUGAAAGCUUGAUUCAUGCAUAUAUUUUGUUGGCUGCCCAGAUUAAUAGAUAUGGGCCAUUUUGAACUUAUGCUCAUGAAUAAGUUUGUGUACAUGAGACAAUGGUGGAUUCAUAUGAAUUGCAAUGAAUG